CGAAGGGUUGUGCCCAGGAAUUCGUGCCUUUAUUACCUCCAAACAAUGCACAUUGUAAUUGCUAGACCUUCUGGAAUCGAAAAUAUUUCCAUUCUCUUAACACCCAAGUUAUAUUAUGUGACAGCGAUACUAUAUAACAAAUGUGGAUGUGUCAUUUGGAGGAGCAACACACAUGAUGCUUAUAUUUGGAGAGAGUGUGAUAUUAGAAGCCACUUGGAGGGUCUCCAGAAUGAAACAGUUUAUCUGUUAGGUGACUCUGGGUAUUCUCUCUAAGGGAGCAUAUGAUGACACCGAUAGAUAAAGCUGUUGAAGAUUCUCUUGAAGGCAGAUACAACUUUGCAGAGCUUUGUUAGUGCAAAUUUUGGAAAGGAAUAGGUAGGACAAAGUUCUACUCAAGCACAUCAUAACAUGCUCCAGAAAAACUGUAUGUUUAUUGAUUUUAAGAAUUUGACAUGAUGUUAUUUAUUUCCUUUAGAGUUUAAUAAAAGAAUAAAUUAUA
rnacentral:lncRNA from 1 species